AUCAAGCUAAUGAUUUCUGUUAUGUGGUCAUGACUGGUAAUUUGCGUCUGACGCAUUUCUGUGAUGUCACACUCGUUUUCACCUUGGAGACUUAUGCAUCCC